rnacentral:rRNA from 1 species
GUAGGGAAUAUUGGGCAAUGGAUGCAAGUCUGACCCAGCCAUCCCGCGUGCCGGAAGAAGGCCCUCAGGGUUGUAAACGGCUUUUGACGGUGAAGAAUCGACAGGAUGCGUCCUGUUUUGACGGUAGCCGUUGAAUAAGCACCGGCUAACUCCGUGCCAGCAGCCGCGGUAAUACGGAGGGUGCGAGCGUUGUCCGGAUUUAUUGGGUUUAAAGGGUGCGUAGGCUGGAAGGUCAGUCAGCGGUGAAAAGCUGUCGCUUAACGAUAGUCUUGCCGCAGAUACUUCCUUUCUUGGAUGAGGAGGAGGCCACUGGAACGGAUGGUGUAGCGGUGAAAUGCAUAGAUAUCAUCCAGAACACCGAUUGCGAAGGCAGGUGGCUGUACCUUAAUCGACGCUGAUGCACGAAAGCAUGGGGAGCAAACGGGAUUAGAAACCCCGGUAGUCC